rnacentral:rRNA from 1 species
AGUGAACGCUGGCGGUAGGCCUAACACAUGCAAGUCGAACGGCAGCACAGUAAGAGCUUGCUCUUACGGGUGGCGAGUGGCGGACGGGUGAGGAAUACAUCGGAAUCUACUUUUUCGUGGGGGAUAACGUAGGGACACUUACGCUAAUACCGCAUACGACCUACGGGUGAAAGCAGGGGAUCUUCGGACCUUGCGCGAUUGAAUGAGCCGAUGUCGGAUUAGCUAGUUGGCGGGGUAAAGGCCCACCAAGGCGACGAUCCGUAGCUGGUCUGAGAGGAUGAUCAGCCACACUGGAACUGAGACACGGUCCAGACUCCUACGGGAGGCAGCAGUGGGGAAUAUUGGACAAUGGGCGCAAGCCUGAUCCAGCCAUACCGCGUGUGUGAAGAAGGCCUUCGGGUUGUAAAGCCCUUUUGUUGGGAAAGAAAAGCAGCAGGUUAAUACCCCGCUGUUCUGACGGUACCCAAAGAAUAAGCACCGGCUAACUUCGUG